CCUACGGGAGGCAGCAGUGAGGAAUAUUGGUCAAUGGGCGCGAGCCUGAACCAGCCAAGUCGCGUGAGGGAUGAAGGUUCUAUAGAUCGUAAACCUCUUUUAUAAGGGAAUAAAGUGUGGGACGUGUCCUAUUUUGUAUGUACCUUAUGAAUAAGGAUCGGCUAACUCCGUGCCAGCAGCCGCGGUAAUACGGAGGAUCCGAGCGUUAUCCGGCUUUAUUGGGGUUAAAGGGUGCGUAGGCGGCCUUUUAAGUAAGCGGUGAAAGUCUGUGGCUCAACCAUCGAAUUGCCGUUGAAACUGGGGGGCUUGAGUUUGUAUGAGGCAGGCGGAAGGCGUGGUGUAGCGGUGAAAUGCUUAGAUAGCACGCAGAACCCCGAGUGCGAAGGCAGCCUGCCAAGCCAUGACUGACGCUGAUGCACGAAAGCGUGGGGAUCAAACAGGAUUAGAUACCCCAGUAGUC
rnacentral:rRNA from 1 species